CCAGCAGCUGCAGAACCUGCGGACACAAAUACCACGAGCUGUGCUGAACUGAACAGCGAGAAGAUGGCCAUAUAUAUUUAGCGUGGAAGCUUUGGAUUCAUGGUAUCAGAAAGCCUUGUCUUUGCGGGUAACCCAACCCAACAGUGCAUUGGAGAGAAGAAUGUCUGCUAUCAGAGGUUUUCAGGUCAUACUCAUCAUUGCAGCCUGCUUUAUGCAGAUCAUAUCUAUCCCAAUAUAACAUGGAAAUGGAGAAGGGGAGAAGCAGGAGCAAGAAAGUAAAGAUCAGUGUGCAGCAUUACUGCAGUCUCCUUUCUUCUGGGCAGAUUUGGUAGGUGUCUUCAGCCCUUUGGAGCCCACCUGACAAUCCGAGGAGACGUUUGGUGGCAGAUGCUUGCUAGGACUGCCCAAGAACAAGGAGAAAGUGAUGGAAGAUCCCUCUUCAACUGGAAACUUCAGCAGAUGUUUCUGAGGACCUGCCAGCACUGAAAAGGGAGAGGAUAUAGGAAGAUAAAGGACUAGACUAUAUUUAGAAGCAAGGAGCACCUUGGAGAAGAGCCCCAGGGUGGUCCUGAGGCAGGACAGACCCUCAAGGGGUACCACCUCACCCUGCUCACCGAGGAGCAGACUCCUCUCCCAAGUAAACCCUUGAGGAGUAAUUUGUUUGACCAAAG